AUUGAACGCUGGCGGCAUGCCUUACACAUGCAAGUCGAACGGCAGCGGGGGAGAAGCUUGCUUUUCCUGCCGGCGAGUGGCGAACGGGUGAGUAAUACAUCGGAACGUGCCCUGUAGUGGGGGAUAACUAGUCGAAAGAUUAGCUAAUACCGCAUACGACCUGAGGGUGAAAGUGGGGGACCGCAAGGCCUCAUGCUAUAGGAGCGGCCGAUGUCUGAUUAGCUAGUUGGUGGGGUAAAGGCCUACCAAGGCGACGAUCAGUAGCUGGUCUGAGAGGACGAUCAGACACGCUGGGACUGAGACACGGCCCAGACUCCUACGGGAGGCAGCAGUGGGGAAUUUUGGACAAUGGGCGAAAGCCUGAUCCAGCAAUGCCGCGUGUGUGAAGAAGGCCUUCGGGUUGUAAAGCACUUUUGUCCGGAAAGAAAUGGCUCUGGUUAAUACCUGGGGUCGAUGACGGUACCGGAAGAAUAAGGACCGGCUAACUACGUGCCAGCAGCCGCGGUAA
rnacentral:rRNA from 1 species